AAGGUUUUAAGUUAAACUAAACUAUAAGCCUUCAAAGCUUACAAUAAAAAUUUUUUAAACCUUG
rnacentral:tRNA from 1 species